rnacentral:lncRNA from 1 species
AGCGCCCUAGUCUCACUAGGCUGGUUGGAGAGGAAGAGGAAAGGUCCAGAGAUGAGAGGCACAUGGAGAGACAGGCCCCAGUGGAGGUGAGCAGACCGGACCAAUGGCCUCUCCCAGCACCUCCGUAACAGCUGGAACAUUCAAAGCAGUUCCAUCACCCUAAAUAUUCACGUGUGCAUCCUCUUUGGAGUCAGCCACACCUUGUCUACCAGUCCCUGGCAACCGCCAAUGAUGAAUUGAAUUCUACAAUUCUCGUAGGAAAUCCCGCAGCAUCUCAAGGGGCCAGGAGAGGUUUUGCCAGGGAAGCCAUAGGGAGCUAAAGCACACUGGAAGAGCUGACUCCGGAGCUACAUAAUCAUGGGAGCCGUGAACCUUCCACGGACAGUGAGGCUAUGUGUCCCCCUCCCGCCGACCUAUGUGUCCUUUUGCCCUGUGUGGAGCGGAUGAGUACACACGAUUCACUCAGGGAGAAGGAGAAACAGCGGGACUCUAGAAACUUCUUUCAGACCCCUGAUACUGCAGCCUUAUCCACCAAGGCCACGCCCUCAGCGCUGGGGUUUCUCGGAGCAGUCAGCGCACGAGUUCAAAGGGCCUCAUUAGGAAGCAGAGGCUGGCUUUGAACCUGAAGUCUUCUGGUCCCAACCUCUUGAGCCCCUGUUAGGAUUACAGGCAGCACACCGGCCCUGGCUCCCUCUGGUAUUUUAAUUGAGACUAAAUUCCAUUGGAACUGCUUAUGGAUAGAGGGUGGCUUGACAUUCUCUUAAGAGUGCCGAGCUGUUUUUCACCCAAGUAAAAAGUCUUGUCUUUGCA